rnacentral:rRNA from 1 species
AUGGAUUUUCUGAUGCAGCCAAUCAGCAGAUCCAGUCUGCUUGAGGAGGUAGGGGAUAGCUUGGUGCCGGCUCCUGUGGCUGUCAAUCUGGAAGUGGCACCGAAGGCGGAGCGGGAGGCGGCGCAGCAGCUGACGGUGGAUAGCGGCGAAGCACAAAUCUUGUUGGCGGAGGAGGUGGCGGCGAACAGAAGGGAGGGCUCGCCGCCAACGUCGGAGCUGUCGACGGGGAAGAUGAAUCCCCAAGCACCAGGGUGGAACAAAAGGCUAAGGGUUGGUGCUGCUGCCCCCAUCAGAACACCGUGCCCACCUCGUGCGAGUGCGUUUGAGAAGGCAGUCAGGUGUUUCGCGAAGAACCCAUCUGAAAAUGUGAUCACACCGUUUCUUAAUGGUACUUUCGACUCUGUGGCCGAGGUGUAUGACUUCUACAACUUGUUUUCGUGGGAGAAGGUUUUGGCAUCCGGUAUGGCAAGAGAUGGCUAA